ensembl:lncRNA
CUCCACCUCCUUUUCAGCCUGGUCCCCAUUGGAACAUACUCCAUCAACUCACACACCUCCUUUUCAGCCUGGUCCCCAUAGGAACAGACUCCACCCCCUCACACACCACCUUUUCAGCCUGGUCCCCAUAGGAACAUACUCCACCCCCUCUUCAGCCUGGUCCCCAUAGGAACAGACUCCACCCCCUCUUCAGCCUGGUCCCCAUAGGAACAGACUCCACCCCCUCACGCACUGCCUUUUCAGCCUGGUCCCCAUAGGAACAGACUCC